AAUCAGCAUCAGUGUUAAGAGAACAGUCUGGAAAGGCUGGCCACAGCAGGUGAUAGCCCUGUAUCUGAAAGCACUGGUGUUGUGAGUCCGAUGAGUAAGGCGGGACACGUGUUAUCCUGUCUGAAUACGGGGGGACCAUCCUCCAAGGCUAAAUACUCCUGACUGACCGAUAGUGAACCAGUACCGUGAGGGAAAGGCGAAAAGAACCCCGGCGA
rnacentral:rRNA from 1 species